UGCUCGCAGUUGUAAUGGAAUGAUGCCAGCUAAUCUCUAACCGUGCUGUCAGAGUUACCAGCAUUCUGCUGGUGCAGCAGUGUGUGUGCGUGCGUGUGCGUGCGUGUGAGUGUGUGAGUGUGUGAGUGUGUGCGUGUGUGCGCGUGUGCGCGUGCGUGCGUGUGUGUGCGUGCGUGUGAGUGCGUGUGUGUGUGCGUGCGUGCGUGCGUGCGUGCGUGCGUGCGUGUGUGCGCGCGCGCGCGUGUGUGUGUGUGUGUGUGCGUGCGUGCGUGCGUGUGAGAAGCUAGAGUUUGAUGGUGGUGAUGGUGCUGUAUUAGUGGGUGGCUUGGGACUGAUUUCUGAUGUUCUGAAAUGGCCUUUUCAUGAGGUGAGGCCACCAGCAUGACGGCUUGGCCCUGACCCAUCUGCCCAGGAACCUGCCUCUUCUCCGCCCAUCCCUGCAUCACUCUGAAACCCAGUGUGUGCGUUCGGAUGAAGCAUCUGCUGUUUGAAAGAACCUACUUGAGCUUGAGUAUUUCCUGAUUGUACAUCCGGAUCCAAACACAGAAACCUGGUGUCCACCCUCUCUUCAGCCUCAGACUGAGACUAACCAGAGCGGCUGAUAAUGAGCAGCUGAUUUCCAGGAGCCAGCUUCAGAGAGUCCUGCUUGUUCUCAUCGACACCGCACUGUUACAAGACACCUGGGCCAGUAGACAACUGGUUUCUUUACCUGAAAAUUAAUAUUUUAGUAUGAUUAGGGAGCAUCUUAUCUUGCCUUAAUUGUUGAAGUAGAAGACAAAGCUUUUAGCUCAUAUAUAUAUAUAUAUAUAUAUAUAUAUAUAUAUAUAUAUAUAUAUAUAUAUAUAUAUAAUUUUGAUUUGUCUGUCUCUGUAGAAUUGGAGUAGCAUAAAUAUAUUGAGUGAUAUGAUUUCAUUUUUGUCCUGUAUGCUUUUGUAAGACUAUACAGCUCUACUAAAUAGCACUAUUUUAUUUUAAAACUGACCAAAGGAUCUUGCUCUUCCACUUGUCUUGAAAACAUUUUUAGUAACUAGCAAUAAAAGCUGUUCCUUCA